GGUAAAAUGUUAAAUUUUAUACCAAUUUUAAAAUUUUUGACAGAAAUUACAGAGGAAACAAAGAGAACAGAGUAACCAAAAUCUAAAAACUAGGACUAAGUAACAACAGAAACCAAAAGAUGGACAUAAUCGACAAGAACACAUAUCUAAAGAUCUAGAGUCCUCAUCGUCGUUGCCACGAGCACCACCACCCAAGGCUGCCCUCAAAACCUCGAACACGGGUAGAGCCUACAGCUUCUCCGAAGACUAACACAAAAACGAAAAAACUUCAAACGAACAAGUUAUAACCAGCGGCACGGGAGCUUCUACGGGCAGUCAGAGAAGCCGCCUCCGACCACAUCCUCAAGCUAUAGUAGCCUCGAGAAUCAUCUCCCACGGAUGCAACAAAGUCGCCAAAGCCAAAUCGCCGCCUCUAUUCCACACUGUCACCACCAUCGCUUCAAUGGAACAAAUCAAAGCCGAAGAUGAACCACUUCUGAACCUGUGAAACCAAGCCAAAAACACAUACAACGCAAGAAACGGAAGGAGCCACACCGGAACUUAAAGAUCUGAGAAAUCUCUGAGAGUAAACACCAAAGGCGGAUCUCUGAAAUCCACCUCCGUUGAAGCACCACCACCAGUCGUCACCGGAGAGAGCUCUCGCAGAGGAGCCCAAACUCAACACUUCCGUCCUAACCGCACCAUGAAGGAGAGCAACACGCAUCAGAGACAGAUGCCACCUAACCGAGGUGAAACCGGAAGCCCUUUCCACCGCAUCUGACUGGUAGUGAGAGCAGUCCUCAAACCCUCAACAACCGAGAAAGAGCAGAGAGAGCAAGCGACGUCACCAUCUCAUCCCGCAAGAGGACAAGAGAUGAGACCAGCAGAGGAAGCAAAACCACCGAAGAAACGACGCCACACGUUCACACCGGCUAGAUCUGCUGCAACCACCACCGGGAAGUCUGACUCAAGUCCGAGAUCUCUCAUCUUCUCUACUAAAACUGAACAAGUAGAGAAGAAAGCCGAUGAAAGAAAUAAAGGAAAGGAAGCCUCUCCGGACGGAGGCACGGAGGCCAACCGCCGGAGAAACGGAACUUCAAAAAGCUUGAAACUUUUGUGGCGGCGGCUGGUUGGGAGAGAAAAAAAAUAGGGCGACCUCUUUU